GCGCAGGGUAAACUGCAGUCGAGCGAGCUUGCCUAGAUGAUUUUAGUGCUUGCACUAAAUGAAACUAGAUACAAGCGAGCGGCGGACGGGUGAGUAACACGUGGGUAACCUGCCCAAGAGACUGGGAUAACACCUGGAAACAGAUGCUAAUACCGGAUAACAACACUAGACGCAUGUCUAGAGUUUGAAAGAUGGUUCUGCUAUCACUCUUGGAUGGACCUGCGGUGCAUUAGCUAGUUGGUAAGGUAACGGCUUACCAAGGCAAUGAUGCAUAGCCGAGUUGAGAGACUGAUCGGCCACAUUGGGACUGAGACACGGCCCAAACUCCUACGGGAGGCAGCAGUAGGGAAUCUUCCACAAUGGACGAAAGUCUGAUGGAGCAACGCCGCGUGAGUGAAGAAGGGUUUCGGCUCGUAAAGCUCUGUUGGUAGUGAAGAAAGAUAGAGGUAGUAACUGGCCUUUAUUUGACGGUAAUUACUUAGAAAGUCACGGCUAACUACGUGCCAGCAGCCGCGGUAAUACGUAGGUGGCAAGCGUUGUCCGGAUUUAUUGGGCGUAAAGCGAGUGCAGGCGGUUCAAUAAGUCUGAUGUGAAAGCCUUCGGCUCAACCGGAGAAUUGCAUCAGAAACUGUUGAACUUGAGUGCAGAAGAGGAGAGUGGAACUCCAUGUGUAGCGGUGGAAUGCGUAGAUAUAUGGAAGAACACCAGUGGCGAAGGCGGCUCUCUGGUCUGCAACUGACGCUGAGGCUCGAAAGCAUGGGUAGCGAACAGGAUUAGAUACCCUGGUAGUCCAUGCCGUA
rnacentral:rRNA from 1 species